rnacentral:rRNA from 1 species
AUGUCGUCCUCGAGCGCCGCCAACUCCACCCUCUCUGGCCAGAUCACAGAGCGUGUCACCCGAACCAACUACGUCUUAUGGCGUACCCAGAUCACGCCACAGCUUCGGGGGGCAGGGUUCUUCGGCUACGUGGACGGCAGCAUGCCGGAGCCGGCCAAGGUCGUCGUCAGCAAGGAUAAGUAUGGCAAGGAGGAGACCAUCCCCAAUCCGCUUCACUCGGUUUGGAUCCGAGAGGAUCAGCAGGUGCUUGGUUACCUUCUAAAUAACCUCUCCAAAGAAGUGCUUAUGCAGGUGACCUCGAUCGCCCGCGUGCACGAACUCUGGACAGUGUUGGCGAGCAUGUUCUCGUCCACAUCGUUGUCUCGCGUCAACAACAUCCGCGCGUCGCUCACGAGCGCAGAAGGGACAGCAGUCGGUGGCCUCCUACUUCGCAUACAUGCGGGGUUUUGCCGACGAGCUCGCCGCGGCAGGCAAGCCCCUGCAAGAUGA